GAGUUUGAUCGUGGCUCAGGAUGAACGCUAGCGGCAGGCCUAAUACAUGCAAGUCGAACGGUAAAUAGUUCAGCAAUGGACUAUGAGAGUGACGCACGGGUGCGUAACACGUAUGCAACCUACCCUUUACAGGAGUAUAGCUCGGGGAAACUCGAAUUAACACUUCAUAGUAUGAUUGAAUGGCAUCAUUUGAUUAUUAAAUCUGCGGAGGUAAAGGAUGGGCAUGCGUCUGAUUAGCUAGUUGGUAGUGUAACGGACUACCAAGGCGAUGAUCAGUAGGGGAACUGAGAGGUUGAUCCCCCACACUGGCACUGAGACACGGCCCAGACUCCUACGGGAGGCAGCAGUGGGGAAUUGUUCGCAAUGGGCGCAAGCCUGACGACGCAACGCCGCGUGGAGGGUGAAGGUCUUCGGAUUGUAAACUCCUGUUGCCCGGGACGAAAAGCUUCGACCUAACACGUCGAAGUCUGACGGUACCGGGUGAGGAAGCCCCGGCUAACUCUGUGCCAG
rnacentral:rRNA from 1 species